UACGUAGGGUGCGAGCGUUAAUCGGAAUUACUGGGCGUAAAGCGUGCGCAGGCGGUUUGUUAAGACAGAUGUGAAAUCCCCGGGCUCAACCUGGGAACUGCAUCUGUGACUGCAUCGCUGGAGUACGGUAGAGGGGGAUGGAAUUCCGCGUGUAGCAGUGAAAUGCGUAGAUAUGCGGAGGAACACCGAUGGCGAAGGCAAUCCCCUGGACCUGUACUGACGCUCAUGCACGAAAGCGUGGGGAGCAAACAGG
rnacentral:rRNA from 1 species